AAAGUCGAGGAAAAUGUGAAGAAAACUGAUGAUGAGGUUGAUAAAAAUUUGAAGAAAGGUAAUGUUGAGGUCAGUGACAACAAGCAAAAAAGCGACUCACAAGCUAAGAGAAAAGGGAAGAGAGGUUUAGACAAAAAACCUAUAGUAGAUACAGGAGUUAACAGAGGUAGUCCACAAGCUUCUCCGUUAAGCUCAACCGAGAAUUCUACUAAAGCUGGAAUUAAAGGAAAGGUUCAAGACUUUGUAAAGAUGUUCAACCACGAGGUUCAUUCGACACCUCAAGAAGGUGAAAGUCGAAGUAAAAGCUUUAGAUGGAAAGCUAGCAGCAAUAGUGGAGUUGAAAGUGAAAAGAGUUUCAACAUGCCAAAAGCAAAUGAGAAAGUUCGGUUCCCCAACGUUAACAAGACGCAAGAUGCAACUCAAAAUGUAGGCAGGGAACAGUUGAUUCACCGUUGUUUCCUGAUAGUGACCUGUAGAAUUUUCUGAUUCUAUGUCUUGCUUUAAAAAACCUAUAGUAGACACAGGAGUUAACAGAGGUAAUCCGCAAGCUUCUCCGUUAAGAUCAACCGAGAAUUCUACUAAAGCUGGAAUUAAAGGAAAGGUUCAUGACUUUGUAAAGAUGUUCAACCACGAGGUUCAUUCGACCC
rnacentral:lncRNA from 1 species